ACAUGCCUACAACAUAACGCUACUGCAUUGGAUCCCAUCAGAACUCCACAGUUACGCGCACUCAGGAUAGAGUAGUACUGGGAUGGGUGACCUCUUCAGAAGUCCUAGUGUUUUACAUGCC
rnacentral:rRNA from 1 species